ensembl:lncRNA
UCAGUCUUUGCCUCUUUGCAUUUUGUGUGUGACCUCCUACCUCUGUAAGACAGUGUGCAAACGAGCACCAAGCCUUUGCUCCCCUUAACUUUUCUAGAAGUAACACACAUUCGCGUCCUCACAGACACACACUUACACUCACAAUUUGUGUAGAAUUAUUUUUCACUCUGAUUUCUGUGGAACAGAUUGAAGAUUUUACCAUCCAAAACCCACAAAGAGAAAACUCCUACUGUGGUCUUCAGAAUUUCCAUUCAGCUGAUUUGCCUGCCAAGUCCAGUGACCAGUACCGCCGCUCCUGAUGGUGGGGAGCAUAUGGUACUGCUGUGAAUAGUUUUGCUCUCACUGCUGUGAAAUCCCACGCCUUCCUACAGAAUGUGUUUGGAGGAGCAAAUGAAUCAAAUAAAUUCGGCGUUGAAAAUAGAUUUCAGAUUCAAAUAAAUUCGGCGUUGAAAAUAGAUUGCAGACAUCCUUUGGUCAAAUGUCCAUGUUUGACAGGUAAAGAUACUGAAGCCCAGCAUCUUGAGAGCUACCUCUCCCACAGAGCCAGUUGUGUAAAAGCUGGGAUUUCCAUUCACGCUCAGCCUGAUUCUUCUGCCACUCUGCUGACUCCAGGAGGUGCUACCAUGUGCAUUUUUAAGGCUCUAAUUUGCACUGCAUUGCCUGUCUUUAACAAGUGCUCACCAUAAGACUUCAUGUGUGCUAGAUUGAAGGAAGGACAACUGACAACUCUCUGUGCCUCUCCACUGGUCUCUGAGUGUUAUAGAGAAUGAUGUGGGGAGCAACCACAUUGCCACACAUUAUGGACAUUUCAGAAUCACUUGAGGGUUUUCUUCGAGUUCAACGUAUUUCUUUGAGAUUCCAAUAUACCACCUAGAGAUAUCCUGAGGCAUUGAUUUCCUAACUUCUGAGAAUCUCUGCUUUAGAGAACCAUUUGAGUGGGAAGAAAAAAAGAUUGAGAGAGAGUACAAUGGGCUUUAACAGGGAGCCUAAUCUAAUAUAUUAAAUUUCAAAGUGACUUAAUAGUUCCCCUUGUCCAGAUUUCUACAUUGAGGGAUAGUUUUAGCACUGUAUUAUUAUUAAAGUACUCUCAUGACACUUGUUCUCCCAGAGUCCUCCAAAAUUCUACGGAUGUAUUUAUUUUUUAAAUACAAUUAAAUCAGUUUCAUUUUGACCUCCUACCACCUACCUUUUUUGAUGUAGCAAGUUAAAAAUUUUUCAAAGCUCAGGAACCCAGGUAAGCAAAAAAGAAACAAAUGGUCUAUUAGUGGUGGAAAGACUGGGCACAGCUGAGUUACAUGUGCUUCUCAUGUUUUCCUCUAUGAGGACAUGUUUAGUUAACAGUCUUCUAUAUGCAAACUUAAGCACUAGAUUAAGAGUCAGACUACAUCACUUCAGCUCCUGGUUCUGGCACCGAAUCACCAAAUAAUCUUGGUUCUGUCAUGUAACUUCUCUGUGCUUGAUAUAAAUGUUGAGAUAAUAAAAUUAGCCGAUAUACAUAAAUCACUCAGAGCCGUAGCUGGCGCAUACGAAGUACUAUUUAAUUAGUAUUUAAGAGUUAACUAUUACUAUUUCUUUUAAAAUAAUUUUGCGGCACCAUUUUAAGACAUGUAUUGGUUUUUCUUUACAUGCUGAUGGUGCAGGGGAUUCCUCCCUCGCUCAAGAGUUUGAGCAGAAGUCCUGAAAAGGUCUUUUCAAACCCAUAGUCUUCUCCCCAUUGGCGCUUUAGGGGCCUUAGGGGGCUCUCACAGUCACUUCAUGCUGCUGCACACGGGUUCCCAAGCAGGAGCUCCAGAGCCCCCAAGAUCAUGAGCUGCUUUAUUAUUUCUCAAAUUCUAGUAUAAAUCACUCACUUGCAACAAGGCCACAAGUAUAGUGCCUGGCACAUAGUAGGUUGUUGUUGAUAAAAUGAAUGGACUAUGCUGGUGGUUUUGUUUCUUCCCUUUUGGAUGUAAUUAUAUCAGCAGCGCGCUUAUCCUGUUCUGGAAAGAAGAUCAGUUUGUGUUAAUGCAUGUCUCCUGUGAAUAAAAAUGUGAAAGUAAAUUAAUCAUGUCUUUAAAAAAUACAAACUGUUCAGUGGACUAUAUCUUUUAAAACAUGAAGUCCAUGGUGAAGGAGGGGCUCAUCAAAGGGAGCCUCACCGACUGAAAGGUUGCAAAUUGCUGAAGUCUAAUGUGUUUCCUGCAUUUUUCUCAUUUUCUUGUAUGUGGU